ACUCCUACGGGAGGCAGCAGUGGGAAUAUUGGACAAUGGGCGCAAGCCUGAUCCAGCCAUGCCGCGUGAGUGAAGAAGGCCUUAGGGUUGUAAAGCUCUUUCAGCAGGGAAGAUAAUGACGGUACCUGCAGAAGAAGCCCCGCUAACUCCGUGCCAGCAGCCGCGGUAAUACGGAGGGGCGUAGCGUUGUUCGGAAUUACUGGGCGUAAAGCGCGCGUA
rnacentral:rRNA from 1 species